GCCCUCGUUCCGCUUUGUUUCUCCCUCGGCUGCAUUGUGUGGAGCGCUGAGUCAGCAGGACCCCCCCCCCCACACACCCCUCCCCGUGCAGCACCGCUGUGCCAACAAACCCACGAGGGAGGAAGGGGGGGGGGGGGGAUGAUGGGGGGGACGUGGGAACGCGGUCCCAUAGAGGAGCAGCCCGGGGGGGUGGCUGCGAGCGCUGCGCCCACGGCGCUGACUCAGCCCCUCUUGGGAGGAGGAGAUGAAGGGGAGGGAUGGCAGUGGGGACACUGUGACUCAGCCAUCUGGAACGGCAGGAAUUCCUCCCGCUGGCCCUACCUGCCCUGGGAACGGGCGCACAGGUUCCUCACCAAGACAAGCAUCAGGGAGAGGGCUUUGGGUCUGCGCCGACGCACGGUGCUGACGGGGAGCUGAUGCUCACUCCUGCUAUUUCUGGAUGACCCCAAGGCCAUUUUGCCUUUAUUCCAGCACUGGGGAAGGCUCAGCAAAUUGUGUCACCCACUGCAGUGCUGCUGUCUUCUCCAGCUCCCUGAGCACCAAGCAGACCCAUCCAAGGAUUCAAAGGGCAAGCUGAAAAAGAGCUCAAGUCUCUCCUGCAUCUCAUGGCACCUGGGCACGGCAGGUGUCACCUGGUGGGAGAUGUCCUGCCUUGAAUCAGGGAUAAAAGCUGAAAACUCCUCUUCAAACAAAUAUGUUUGAGUCAUUCUCCCUCCCCCCCUUCCCCCCCCCCCCCCCCCCCCCCCCCCCCCCCCCGACCUGCGAGCCUGGUUUUUAUGUACCGUGGUAAAUGCUAUGCCUUGAAAAGACCCACACAUGAAUAAAAAAUCAGGCUGUCACUCUGCCGUGCUCCUUUUAAAGAGAAAUUGCUUAAAGCAGCAAGAAGGAUGUCUAAUCUUGGGAAUCUGGAGCCAGUGUUUGCGAAGCGGGGGAGGUGGGGGUCACUGCAGUUUAUGCUCAUGAAUAAUGCAUCUGACAUUGUAGCCAUGCAAAUGGAACCUAACAAACUCCAACCUAAAUAAAAAUCUUGGUUGUUAUGUCAGGGUUUUUGUGUUGUUGUUGUUUUUUUUUCUUUUGCCUGGCCUCUCCUCCCAGCUCUCCCUUGGAUUUUGGGCACAAACGUUGGGCAACUGAAGAGGUGGGAGUGGGCGAUCAGUGGGGAGUAUGGAGCGCCCUUACAAAUCAUGGCAUGGAAUCACAGACUCAUAGAACGGCUUGGGUUGGAAGGGACUUGAAAGAUCAUCAAGAUCCUGGAGCUUGGAGCCAUCCUAUAAGUAGAAGACAGGACGUAUACAGCACAGGGCUCUGCUCCUAGGUGGGAUUUCUUUCUUCUUCUACAGGGUGAUGAGGGACUGCUGCCCAGAGGAGCUGUGGGUGCCCCAUCCCUGGAGGUGCCCAAGGCCAUGGGUGGGAUUCUGGGCAUCCUGAGCUGGUGGGGGGCACCCAGAUCACAGCAGGCAUGGAACCGGAUGAUCUUCCAGGUCCUUUCCAACACAAGCCAUAGUAGGAUUCCAUGACUUCUAUGGGAAUGACUGAGAAAUAGUCAGCAUUAGGAACCUUACUCUGUGAAUGGGCUGUUCUAGAGCAAACUAUUCCAUUUUAAUGGAAUUAUUCCAUUUAGAGCAAACUGCUCCAUUUUAUGGCCCUGUUAACAGCCAGAAGUGAAGUGGGACUGUCGGAUUUGGGAUAGUUGGUUUAACCCCUCUCCAUCCUUCAGUCUGCUCAUCCCAUGCUCAGUGCUGAGGCUGGUGGGUGGCUUUUGGGUGAAGCACAGGGAUAGAGGAGUAGAAGUGCCAUGAUGGGAUGCCAUGGGAGGUAUUUUUAGUGCCUGAGAAAUAUUAUGAUAAAGCAGUGGAUACCUUUCAAUCAUUUUACAAACCUGUAUUGACUGGAAGCACUCCAAAGCCAAUGGAAAAAUAGAAGAUGCUUAAUUCAGAGACUGAGCCGGGGUGAGUGCAGCCCCUUUCCAAUCACUGGAUCUUUCUCCUUGCCUUCAACAAACUCACAAAUGGAUUGCCCAAAGGGAUACAAAGCCAAAAGCUGCAGACCUUAUUUCUCUGCUGAGCUAACCUUUACAGCUCUGAUGAACAAUAUUUUACACAGCUAUUGCUUGAACAGAAGUCACUGCAUUGUUUUUUAUACCUCUGUCUCCUGUCAGGAAGGAGCUAGAGUAAAUUCUCCUUGGACAGCUCACGAAAUCCUGACCCGAGUGCUGAUCAUUGCUGUGUUUUCUCAACUCAGAGCACAGGCAAGGAUGUGCGGAAGGUUAUUGAUGAGCCCAGAGCAGCUUUCACCUUCUUUUUUUUUGUCAGUUAUAUAUGCCUGGCUCUGGCUGCGCAGUGCCUUUCUGUUUGAACCAGUAACACGACCUGACAGCAAGGCAUUCCCAUCUAAACAGUUGGGUCCAUGUCUAUCUGCCAGCUGUUUCUGCACUGAGAUAAACCAUGCCAGCUCGAUCUUUGCAGUGCAGCAGAGAAUGGGAAUAGGUCCUUCUGCUACAGCCCAGACUGCUCCAAUGGGCUCCACUGAAGACCAUGGGAACCCAUGGGUUUGCCCAGCACCUCAUCCAUGCAAUUGCUUGCUUCUUAGCAGCUCCAGUCCCCUCCUGGCCUCUGCCAGCUCUGCUCCAGCCCACACUCGUACCAAGGGGCACUGAGUGAUGAGAUUUCAUCAAGGACUCUUCCUGUGGGAUGGCCAAUGUCAAUCCUUCGUUGAUUCCCAUGGUGAGGAGGAUGGUCAGUGUCAGUCCUUAAUUGACUCCCAUGAUGAAGAUGAUGGCCAAUAUUAAUCCUUGAUUGAUUCCGAUGGUGAGGAGGAUGUCCAGUGUCAACCCUCGGUUGAUUCCCACAGUGAGGAAGAUGGUCAUUGUCAAUCCUUGGUUGACUCCCACAGUGGGGAUGAUGGCCAGUGUAAAUUCUUGGUUGACUUCCACAAUGAGGAGGAUGGUCAAUGUCAAUCCUUGGUUGAUUCCCACAGUGAGGAAGCUGUACAUAGAACACCAGAGGGAGAUUUACACUUUCCAUAAGUUGUCAAUCCUGACUCCUGGACCCCAGGAAAGCACAUUUGGAAGAGCAGGCAAGAAAGAUGUCCAAUCUUGGUGCUAGAUAUCUGCGCUUCAUACCAUAGCAUCUCUGCACUCAUCAGUGCGGGGCUGUGGAGAGAUGAGGGCACCUGUCACACACAAGGGUGGAAUAUGGGAAUUUGUGUCCUAUAACGAUGCUCUGACAAAGCUGAGUUACUAGGUCAAGAAAAAAAAUAAGGUGGUGUAGCAAGGAUGUGUUUUGGGUAAGCAGAAAGCGUCAGCUGCAUCAUCCUAACCUGACUGAAUGAUGGAGAAUUACAAGCUAGCAGCAACGCAGUUAAUGCAGGCAUUAAGGACGUUACAGAAGGGGUAGCUCUAAGUAAAUCUUUCAUGUAAUUAACGGUACAGUUCUGCAAAUUAGUGGAAAUUACAUAUUGAAAUGCUUGGACGCCAGCCACAGUGGAGGGAACGCGCUGACUUCUGUCUGAUCUCAGAGCCUGGCUGCCUUUUAUCUGCCAAAUACUUGAAUAGAAAACUACCUGGAAACCCAGCCAGUGUUUGGCGCAACAUGAGAACUGAGCAGAAGGCCACGGAAACAAAAGUGAGUGCAGGGACCGCACUCGAAGCCAUUCUUGUGGCUGAAUUCCCAUGGGAGAACAAAACCAAACAAAGAACGGAGCCCAAAAACCACAGACUGUAAUGCAGUGAUAUCACAGGUUAGAAUCUUUCCAUCCUCUCCUUUGCUUCAAUCCUGGCUCCUUAAACACGAGGAACUGUGCACGGGAAAGCACACAAGGAAUGAGUCACACUCAAAUAUUUGGAUGUUUACGUCUCUAUC
ensembl:lncRNA